rnacentral:rRNA from 1 species
CCCAGACUCCUACGGGAGGCAGCAGUGGGGGAUAUUGCACAAUGGGGGGAACCCUGAUGCAGCGACGCCGCGUGGGUGAAGGAGCGUUUCGGCGCGUAAAGCCCUCUCGGCAGGGAAGAAGGAGGACGGUACCUGACUAAGAAGCCCCGGCUAACUACGUGCCAGCAGCCGCGGUAAUACGUAGGGGGCAAGCGUUAUCCGGAUUUACUGGGUGUAAAGGGGGCGCAGACGGCAGCGCAAGCCAGGAGUGAAAGCCCGGGGCCCAACCCCGGGACUGCUCUUGGAACUGCGCGGCUGGAGUGCAGGAGGGGCAGGCGGAAUUCCUGGUGUAGCGGUGAAAUGCGUAGAUAUCAGGAGGAACACCGGCGGCGAAGGCGGCCUGCUGGACCGCGACUGACGUUGAGGCUCGAAAGCGUGGGGAGCAAACAGGAUUAGAUACCCUAGUAAA